rnacentral:rRNA from 1 species
AUUGAACGCUGGCGGCAGGCCUAACACAUGCACGUCGAACGAGUGGCGGACGGGUGAGUAAUGUCUGGGAAACUGCCUGAUGGAGGGGGAUAACUACUGGAAACGGUAGCUAAUACCGCAUACCAUCAGAUGUGCCCAGAUGGGAUUAGCUAGUGGGGGGGGUAACGGAUCACCACGGCGACGAUCCCUAGCUGGUCUGAGAGGAUGACCAGCAACACGUGAACUGAGACACGGUCCAGACUCCUACGGGAGGAAGCAGUGGGAAAUAUUGCACAAUGGGCGCAAGCCUGAGGCAGCCAUGCCGGGGGUAUGAAGAAGGCCGUCGGGUUGUAAAGUACUUUCAGCGGGGAGGCGUUACCCGCAGAAGAAGCACCGGCUAACUCCGUGCCAGCCGCCGCGGUAAUAC